rnacentral:rRNA from 1 species
AGGAUGAACGCUAGCGGCAGGCCUAACACAUGCAAGUCGAGGGGUAGAACACUUCGGUGUUUGAGACCGGCGCACGGGUGCGUAACGCGUAUGCAAUCUACCUURUACAGGGGAAUAGCCCAGAGAAAUUUGGAUUAAUGCCCCAUAGYAUAUAGCCUUSGCAUGUAGGUKAUAUUAAAGUUCCAACGGUAYAAGAUGAGCAUGCGUCCCAUUAGUUAGUUGGUAAGGUAACGGCUUACCAAGACGAUGAUGGGUAGGGGUCCUGAGAGGGAGAUCCCCCACACUGGUACUGAGACACGGACCAGACUCCUACGGGAGGCAGCAGUGAGGAAUAUUGGUCAAUGGUCGCAAGACUGAACCAGCCAUGCCGCGUGCAGGAAGACGGUCCUAUGGAUUGUAAACUGCUUUUAUACAGGAAGAAACCCUCCCACGUGUGGGAGCUUGACGGUACUGUAGGAAUAAGGAUCGGCUAACUCCGUGCCAGCAGCCGCGGUAAUACGGAGGAUCCAAGCGUUAUCCGGAAUCAUUGGGUUUAAAGGGUCCGUAGGCGGUCUUAUAAGUCAGUGGUGAAAGCCCAUCGCUCAACGAUGGAACUGCCAUUGAUACUGUAAGACUUGAAUGCUUAGGAAGUAACUAGAAUAUGUAGUGUAGCGGUGAAAUGCUUAGAUAUUACAUGGAAUACCAAUUGCGAAGGCAGGUUACUACUAAGUGAUUGACGCUGAUGGACGAAAGCGUGGGGAGCGAACAGGAUUAGAUACCCUGGUAGUCCACGCCGUAAASGAUGGAUACUAGCUGUUCGGCGCAAGUUGAGUGGCUAAGCGAAAGUGAU